rnacentral:rRNA from 1 species
AGUGAACGCUGGCGGUAGGCCUAACACAUGCAAGUCGAACGGCAGCACAGUAAGAGCUUGCUCUUACGGGUGGCGAGUGCGGACGGGUGAGGAAUACAUCGGAAUCUACUUUUUCGUGGGGGAUAACGUAGGGAAACUUACGCUAAUACCGCAUACGACCUACGGGUGAAAGCAGUGGAUCUUCGGACCUUGCGCGAUUGAAUGAGCCGAUGUCGGAUUAGCUAGUUGGCGGGGUAAAGGCCCACCAAGGCGACGAUCCGUAGCUGGUCUGAGAGGAUGAUCAGCCACACUGGAACUGAGACACGGUCCAGACUCCUACGGGAGGCAGCAGUGGGGAAUAUUGGACAAUGGGCGCAAGCCUGAUCCAGCCAUACCGCGUGGGUGAAGAAGGCCUUCGGGUUGUAAAGCCCUUUUGUUGGGAAAGAAAAGCAGCAGGUUAAUACCCCGCUGUGCUGACGGUAACCAAAGAAUAAGCACCGGCUAACUUCGUG